rnacentral:rRNA from 1 species
AAGUGGAGCAAUCCAUGAGUAUAGUGGCGACCGGGUGAGUAACACGUGACUACCUGCCCUUGAGUGGGGGAUAACCUCGGGAAACCGAGGCUAAUACCGCAUAAUAUCGCAAGAUCAAAGCAGUAAUGCGCUUGAGGAGGGGGUCGCGGCUGAUUAGCUAGUUGGUAAGGUAAUGGCUUACCAAGGCGAAGAUCGGUAUCCGGCCUGAGAGGGCGCACGGACACACUGGAACUGAAACACGGUCCAGACUCCUACGGGAGGCAGCAGUGGGGAAUUUUGCGCAAUGGGGGAAACCCUGACGCAGCAACGCCGCGUGGAGGAUGAAGCCCCUUGGG